AGUGAACGCUGGCGGUAGGCCUAACACAUGCAAGUCGAACGGCAGCACAGUACUAGCUGGCUCUUACGGGUGCCGAGUGGCGGACAGGUGGUGAAUACAUCGGAAUCUACUUUUUCGUGAGCGUGAACGUAGGGAAACUUACGCUAAUACCGCAUACGACCUACGUGUGAAAUCAGGAGAUCUUCCGACCUUGCGCGAUUUAACGACCCGAUGUCGGAUUAGCUAGUUGGCGGCGUACAGGCGCACCAAGGCGUCGAUCCGUAGCUGGUCUGAGAGGAUGAACAGGCACACUGGAACUGAGAGACGGUCCAGACUCCGACGGGCGGCCGCAGUGGGGACUAUUGGCCGAUGGGCGCAAGCCUGAUCCAGCCAUACCGGGUGGGUGCAGCAGGGCUUCGGGUUGUAAAGCCCUUUUGUUGGGAAAGAAAAGCAGCAGGUUAAUACCACGUUUUUCUGACGGUACCCAAAGAAUAAGCACCGGCUAACUUCGUG
rnacentral:rRNA from 1 species